UUAAACUGAAGAGUUUGAUCAUGGCUCAGAUUGAACGCUGGCGGCAGGCUUAACACAUGCAAGUCGAGCGGUAACAUUUCUAGCUUGCUAGAAGA
rnacentral:rRNA from 1 species